CACUGGGAGUGGCGUGAAAUCGCUCUGUGCUCACGCUGUGGGGCCAUGUUUCCCUCCUUGGGCUCGGCUCCCAUCCACAACCCGGCGGUGACUUGGUCCAGGAAGCUAACGUCCAGCCAUGAUAACAGUUUAAAAUAUGGAUCGUCCCAGCCAGAAAUCAGUCAGCUGUUUUCAUCCGCAGCCCCUUCCUGGUGCUCAGGAUGUUGAGGACCGCACGGGACAAGCAGCCCACGAGCCCGCGGUGCUGCCAUCACAGGAAGGACCUGUGGGAGAGUUUGUUGGAGAUGGCCCAUGAGCCAGGCGCGGAAGCCUGGGUACCACUGUUGCCUCAGUGAAAUGAAAACGCCAACGGGCCUGGCAAGGAGUCUGCUCCCCAGAAGGUCCUCUCUGGGUGUCGAGUCUGAAUUUAGGACAAGUAAAAAGACUUAGCAAGUGCGUGCGCUAGUGCUGUGUUUUCAAGUUCGGACGGUGGGCUGGUGAGACUGAAGAGGACGGAGCCCGCGGGGGGAAGCUUCGCAGGAGUUCUUCUGUUGUCAGACAGCUCCGCGGAAUCCCGUCUCUGAAAACCCGCCUGAAGCAUGCAGUGACAUUGCACAACCCGCCUGGAGCCGGAGGUUACAGCCGCGGAGCCCAGAGCGACGGCUUCACACAGCAUGAGAGGAGCCAGCGUCAUGGACGGGCUGCCCCAGACCGGUCUUCCGGAUUUGGUCCUCCGGUCACGGUGGCCAGCCCUUGUCUUAGACGAAUGACACCUCAGCUCAUGCCGGCCAUGGCGCCCAGCAGUGGCAGCGACAGGGCACGACCUCAGUGAGCGGUUUCCUGGCUGUCCUCCAGGACUGCCCGAGCUCAGGGAAGAGACCCCCUGGGGAAAGGCUUUGCCCAGACAGGAGCAGUUACCGGAGGCAGCCCCGCGCCUCGCCUUCUCCCACGGAAAGCACACGGCACAGUUCCACUCAUUUCAGCACCGUUCACCCACCGCGUUCGUUUUCGCGCCGACGCCGUUGCCCGAUUGCUGUGUAAGUGGUAACGCGAGGCUGGAAGGGCUCAGCCCGUGGACGUGGUUCUCAGCCGUGGGGCCUCUGACGUCACCGCAGCCCUCAGCUGCGUCCCAGACAGCCGGUCGC